rnacentral:snRNA from 1 species
AAUCGGACGUCUUCGGCGUU